rnacentral:tRNA from 1 species
UGGCACGGUGGUUAAGAGCUCUUGGCUGCUAACCAAAAGGUCGGCAGUUCAAAUCUGCU